rnacentral:misc_RNA from 1 species
AACGCACAUUGCGCCCUUUGGUAUUCCGAGGGGCAUGCCUGUUCGAGCGUCAUUGCAGCCCUCAAGCACAGCUUGGUGUUGGGUCCUGCCGGUGGCGGCUGACUCUAAAAUCAGUGGCGGUGCCUCUAGGUUCUAAGCGUAGUAAUCUUUCUCGCUACAGGGUCUUGGGGUGCUAGCCAUCAACCCUAAAUUUUCUAUGGUUGACCUCGGAUCAGGUAGGGAUACCCGCUGAACUUAA